rnacentral:rRNA from 1 species
UACGUAGGGUGCAAGCGUUGUCCGGAAUUAUUGGGCGUAAAGGGUGCGUAGGCGGCGCGGUAAGUCGGGUGUGAAAUCUCGGAGCUCAACUCCGAAACUGCAUUCGAUACUGCCGUGCUUGAGGACUGGAGAGGAGACUGGAAUUUACGGUGUAGCGGUGAAAUGCGUAGAUAUCGUAAGGAAGACCAGUGGCGAAGGCGGGUCUCUGGACAGUUCCUGACGCUGAGGCACGAAGGUCAGGGGAGCAAACGGG